AGGAGAUGCAGGAGGUUGCUUCUGGGUUGUGAAGCUUCAUAUUCAGAGCUCGCAGAUCGGAUUUCUGCUGAGCAUUCGGAUUAGAUGACAAACACCAAUCUGACGCAAGGACGCUCUCCGGAUCCAUCUGUAGAUGAGACUCUCUGCAUUUUACACUUUUCCCCCCAUUUAGACUGAAAUUAGAAUUGGAUUACGCCGCCUCAUCAGCUCUGCGAACCCACUGAGGCUUGGAUCUUUUUUUGUUGUUUUGAAGCGACACCUGAACUGAUUGUUCAGCAGGAAAGCCGUCUCUCUGAAGGCGAGGUGUUUGUAUGUUAGCAGCUGUGUUUGUUUCAGUCGCACCGACUGUGAGCUGUGAGACGGGUAAAAUUAGCCACGCGACUGGGACUCGGACACAAAUCAACUCCAGACUAUUUCUUCACUUUUCUACUGAUUCUACAUGACACUGUGUUUAGUUUAACGCUACUCUGACAUCACACUUCCUUCAUUUAGACCAGGCGCAUACUUCUUUUUUAUGCUUCUCCCAUUAGGGGGCGCCACAGCAGAUCAUACGUCUCCCUGUCCUCUACAUCUGCCUCUUUCAAACUACCUGCAUGACUUCCCUCACCACAUCUAUAAACCCCAGACCAAGCGCAUACACAGAUCACAGGUCAGUUUUUAGCUCGGCUAGCUUUUUAUAUAUGCACAAACAUUUUCCACUGAAAUGUUUUCACCUUAAUUUUAAAAAUUAAAGCUCUAUGAAAGAAUGCAACACACAAACAAAGACUUGGCACUGACCCAUGUGCAUUUUAUAGGUUUGUAACAGGAAAUGAGCAAAACCUACAAGGAAGAGUUGACAACUCACACAAGGGUGCCCUCUGGUGGCGUGGUGGGGAAUUGUCUGUAGUUGCUUCCUUUGUGUUAUGGUGAAAAUAAAAUAUUUAUUUAUUA